rnacentral:rRNA from 1 species
UACAGAGGGGGCAAGCGUUGUUCGGAAUUACUGGGCGUAAAGGGCGCGUAGGCGGUUUCUUAAGUCGAACGUGAAAUCCCCGGGCUCAACCCGGGAACUGCGUCCGAUACUGGGGAGCUUGAAUCCGGGAGAGGGAUGUGGAAUUCCAGGUGUAGCGGUGAAAUGCGUAGAUAUCUGGAGGAACACCGGUGGCGAAGGCGGCAUCCUGGACCGGUAUUGACGCUGAGGCGCGAAAGCUAGGGGAGCAAACGGG